UUGAAUAGAUGAAUUUUUUUUUCUAGAACAGAUAACUCUAGAACAGUUUUUGUCUUAUCGUCUUCACUAAAACACACCAAAAAAAAAACAGACGGUUGCUCGUAUUAAGAAUCAUUCGCAAAAUUGUUUGAUAAUCAAGAUACUAUGUCUUCGUUUAUCAUCUUUUAAUCGCCACACCGGAAUUCUACAAAGAGGUAAGGUUACUAUGUUUCAAAUUUUGACUUUGUUUUUUUUCCAAUGUUUCGAUUGAAAUUCCAAUCUUUGAAAUUUUAUGUUUGAACAUAGCUCUUGGGCAUUGAUUGUCAAGAACUCGAUCUUUUUUUUUUUUUUUGUCAUCCGAAUUACUUCAAGAACCCGAUCUCGUAUGGGUAAGUAUUGCUAAUUUAUAUCUAAAUUACGAUUUCAAUUAUGAUUAUCAACAAUUUCCGAAUCGUGAGAUGUUAUUUUGAGAUUGGUUAGUUUUAACACAAAUCUCUUAUUAUAAAUCUCUUGUUAUAUGAGAAGAGUUAUAAUUAAUUUUGUUUCCAAAUAUAUUUCAGUUUUGUCUCAACGUGAUUAUGUUGGCAAAAGUUAAUGAUUUUCCUAGAUGAGUUCUCUUCUCUGAUACGAUAAUGAGUUUAUACCUGUUUAUAAAUAUGUGGUCUUGAUGAUACAAAGAUCAAUGUAUACAUGCAAAAGAUCAUCUCUGUGUUUAUUUCUUUUAGAGCUGCCUGUAUUUAUGGCAUCUUUGUAGCAAUUUUGAAAUAUGGAAGUAUAGAUGCAAAAGGUUAGUGAGGCUUUGUAGCUAUUCAGUAUGUUAAAUUCAGUAAGUUGAAAUGAUUUAGUAAAUUCGAGGCUUUAAUAAUAGAAAUAUUUACUUAGAUGUUAACCAAAAGUUCGAAUAUUAUUAGAAUAUCAUACAUUUUCUAAAAAUUACUCAUAUGUUUUGAGCAUUUGUGUAAUUACAAUUAACACCCUUCAUUAGUUUUUUUUUUAAUUAAUAAUUUUUAAUUCGUUUUUAAUUAAAAAUAAUAAAUAAAAAUUUGAUUAUUCAUGUCAUUAAUCCACAUCACCAAUCUCACACUCCUCAAACUCACGUUAUUUCUCCUCUUCUCUUUUUUGUCUCCAAAUCCAAGAAAAGCUUUUAGAUCAUUUCUCCUCUUCUCUUUUUUUUUUUGUCUCCAAAUCCAAGAAAAGCUUUUAGAUCUAAUAAUCUGCAACUAACUUGGGUACAACAUUGACAAAGAUCUUCAAAUUGCAGGAUUGGGCUGGAUCUUCCUAGACCUCACAGCCACAACGCUUGCCAUAGGGUCCCAAAUCAAAAGCUUCGUCAGAUCUACUCGCAACCACGCCCACGAAAAAAGUCAUCAAAAAUCAAAACCCAAAACAAAGAGAUCUAUGGAAUUCUACAUGAUUCGUUACAGGUUUGAGUUGAAAUCAAGAAUAGCUACUCUUUUACUUUGAUUUUACAUGUCUCUCGUUUAAUCUUCCUCUCAAUCGAUCUAUUUGGAGACAUUUCUACUUCUAUCUAUGUUUUGAUUCAUACGGUUUAGUCUUCCUCCUAUGUAUCCCUCAAACAUAUUUUUACGAAUCUUAAUUUGAUUGUUGUUAUUUGACCAAUAAAUUUCAUAUUGUCUUCUCCAAAAAAAUGUUGCUUUCCGAUCUGUAUUAUAAAUCAGCUGUAAAGUGAUGUAACUCAGCCGUAACGUGAUGUAACUCAGCCGUAACAUAUAAUUUACACAACCUUUCGUCUUCCCUGAAUGAUAACUCAGCCGUGACAUGUAAUUUACCGAACCUUUCGUCUUCCCUGAAGCAUAUAACUCACCCAUAACAUAUAAUUUACACCCAUCUAUCGUCUUCCCUGGAGAAUAUAACUCAGCCGUGACAUGUAAAUUUACCAAACCUUUUGUCUUCCCUUAAACAUAUAACUCAGCCGUAAUAUAAUUUUACCGAACCUUUCGUCUUCCCUGGAACAUAUAACUCAGCUGUGACAUGUAAAUUGACCGAACUUUUCGUCUUUCCUUAAGCAUAUAACUCAGCCGUAAUGUAAUUUUACUGAACCUUUCGUCUUCCCUGGAACAUAUAACUCAGCCGUGACAUGUAAAUUGACCGAACCUUUCGUCUUCCCUUAAGCAUAUAACUCAGCCGUGACAUGUAAAUUUACAGCGAAACAAUAAGAGACGCAACAUUUCCUCUAACUUUAUCAUCGAGCACCAACUUCACAAGUUUUUCGUGCGUUGUUUUCGCAUCUAUCUGCACAACUCUACACCCUCUUUCAUCGGUGUUAAAUACGUAUUUGUGUUUUGAUACCCAAUUACAGGAACCGGAUCAACCAUAUCGGGAGAAGGAUGAAAGAAAUUGAAGAAGAAUGAGGAAGACGAUGAGGAAUUGGAAGUUCCGGUGAUGUGAUAAACUCAGGUGAAGAAGACGAGUUGAAAAAAUUUGGCCCUAUUUUUUUGUCUUUUGAUGAUGAUGACAUGGAAUGAUGACAUAGAAUGUUGCAUCCACGUCAUAUUUUAAUUGAUGAAGUGGCAAGUAAGCCACCAAACGAAAAUGUAAAUCAGCUUAAUUAAACCAGCCAUCAAACAAAACUUUAACUCAGCCGCAACAUGAAUAUUAUUACAGUAAUUAAAAAACGAAAAAACGGCAGCCAAAUUCAGCCGUUUACUCAACCAAAAAUAUUUAACUCAGUCGUGUCGUUUAAUAAGUCGGCCGUCAUUGCAUGCUAUUCUAGUAAUUAAUCUUUCGCUACUAAGUCAGCCAUAAUAAGGCCGAGUUUUCCGUUAAUUCAGCUCAUUACGGCUGAUUUAUGAUACUCGAACAUAAAUCAGCCGUAACGUCAUCCCAUAACUAAGCCGUCUUUGAUAACUCAGCCAGCCGGAGAAAGUUAAGUCAGCCGUGUCGAAGCAAUAACUCAGCCAAAAAUUUGACAAAUCAACCAUCGGGUGAAAACUCAGCCGUAACUUAGGCUGGGUUAUGCUCGAAAGUCGGCCAUUUUAUCAUAACUCAGACAGAUUUCAGUAAGUUAGCCGUAACUCCAGGCUGAGUUAUACUUGUAAGUCAGCCGUUUGCUCAUAACUCAGCCAUUUUUCUUAAAUCAGCCGCAACAUACCGUAACUCAGCCGUCACUACCGCUAUAUCGCUCGACGGCUGAGUUCAUUAAUACACGUCAGCGAUUUCUGACGUGGCGACGCGGCUUUGCUGAUGUGGCAGUGGCAUUCUUUGUAAUUACGUUUUUUCCUGUAACGUUUAACAGGGGCACGCUGGGUAUAAAAAAUAUACACGAAAUAUGAUAGUAAUAAAAAAAAGAUCUGUAUGUUUCUGGUAAUUUCAUAUAAAAUGUAUAACAUCUGAGUAAAUCUCCCUUAAUAAUAUGUUACAUGCAUACAUGCUAAUCAUCAUGCCUGAGUAUAAUUGGAAUACUGUGUGCGGCUUUCUAAUGAUGUCGUCUUUGGAGCUAUUUAGAAAGCUUGAAGUAAUGUUAAAGGUUAGUUAGAUGAUAAGGAUUGCAUAUAUUUUUUAGUUUUUAUGAAUAUUUAACUGUUGUUAAACUUUUUGAAUGAGUAGAAUUGUGAUAGAAAAGUCUCGUGAUUGUUAUUUUGUUUUCUAAAGUUUUCAUUAGCAAUACACCAAUACAUUGCUUUCUUAUAUUGUUUGAACUGCUUCUGUAUAUGAAUUAUUUAACUUCAUAUUAAGCUAGUAAAGCUGAAAACUCCAUAAAAAACAAAGUUAAGCUGGAUUUUGAGAUUCUGGAAAAAAGGGAAGAUAAAAAUAACAUAUAGUUGAUUCAAAACAACAUUGUUUCUUAUCUGGAAAAUGAUUUCAGUAACCACAAUACUUUCCAAAUUCCCUUUAGAAACCAGUUUUUUCCUUUUAAACAUAUAAAAGAAAUGAUUAUUAUAGGAUUGCAUAUUUCAGAAAGUUUUCAAUCCUUACAGAUUAUUAGUAUAGAUUGUUACCUCUUGCAUAUCAUAUCGCUUGCAAAGCAAAUUGUUAUAGGUUUUGAAAAACAUCCUUGAACACCACAUUCAUUGUUGCCUUAUGUGGUUUUCCUUAUUUGUCCACUAUGAGGAUCUUCAAUCCUUUCUUAGAAUUUACCCUAAAGAUUGCAACAUAGAGUUGGCCAUGUGAUUAUUCUAAGUACUAAAUAAAAUUAAGAUCUAUUGAAAAUGGAAUAUUACUCACAGAUGGUCAUUUCCAUUGUUUCACCAGUGAAUUGCAUGCGUGUAUUGUGUCCAAGAAUGGAGAAUCUUCACUUGGAUUUUCCAAUUCGUCUUGAAAGGUUUGAUGUCAGCAGGGUUGACGAUCACAAGAUUUUCAGCCUUUUUUUCAAAGGAGUAGCAAGCGAAGAAUGAUUGCAUGAAAGGUUAGUGUGUAUCUAAACUUAACAUUAAACAUCUAUUUAUAUGAAAAAGGUCGGCAAAAUUCUUUUAAGGUUUAGAGAAUGAAUACAUCAACAACCGUAUAUUAGCAAAUAAGAAUUUUAGAGGUAUAUGCUGAUUUGUUAGUAUUUCAAAAUCUAGUUUUUAUUAGAUUUUGGAAAUAGAAUAAUUUUGAUCGUAUUUAAUGGGAUUAUGAUUUAUUUAGUUAUCGAUAUUGAAUGGAUUUGUUUGUUAUAGAAAUCAAUUUAAAUGAUAACUAACAAAUUUGGUUUUGGGAUUAAUUCCUGAAGAUAUGACUAAAUCUCGGAGAAAUGUCACAAGCUGAAUAAUUGUCGGUGAAGCCCAUUCAAAAACCACGAAGCCCAGUAAAUUUGAGAAGCAAUGGCAAUCGGAUCCUCCAACACUGGUAGCAAGAUCCGCGAGUUUUACCGUUUUUAAUAGAUGUAGAUCUGACCCAGCCACCCAAGCUCCGCGUUCUUUAAAAAUGCACAUUUGCCAAUUUACCCUUUAACGUGUUUUUUUAUAGUCUCUUUGAUUGAAAAAUUUGUAGUGGCAUUCAUCGUAAUUAAUCUAUCAAAAUAAGGUUUAUUAGUUUUGAGUGAUUCCCAAUUAAUAGUAU
rnacentral:lncRNA from 1 species